rnacentral:rRNA from 1 species
UUAAAGGUAAUUGACGGGGCCCGCACAAGCAGCGGAGCGUGUGGUUUAAUUCGUUGCUACACGAAGAACCUUACCUGGGUUUUGACAUAUAGGUUGUAGGGAACUGAAAAGGGACCGACCCUUCGGGGAGCCUAUACAGGUAUUGCAUGGCUGUCGUCAGCUCGUGUCGUGAGAUGUUCGGUUAAGUCCGCUAACGAGCGCAACCCUCGUCGUAUGUUAUAUGUGUCAUACGAGACUGCCGGUAAAAGCCGGAGGAAGGUGAGGAUGAUGUCAAGUCAGCAUGACCUUUAUAUCCAGGGCUACACACACGCUACAAUGGUCUGUACAAUGGGUAGCCAAGCCGCGAGGCGGAGCCAACCCUGAAAGCAGGCCUCAGUUCAGAUUGCAGUCUGCAACUCGACUGCAUGAAGCCGGAGUUGCUAGUAACCGCAGGUCAGCAAUACUGCGGUGAAUACGUUCCCGGGUCUU